UGAAAUGAGAAAGAGCCAGUUCCCCACCC
rnacentral:piRNA from 1 species